ensembl:lncRNA
CAACGGUGUGGCUGUCUUAGUAAUUACCUUAAUGAGAUAACACCUUUCCUUCCCUCAACCUACUCAUUAUCACGCCUCUUGUUCAAAUUUCAGCUAUAAAGAGCUAUACUUAAAAAAAAAAAAAAAAAAAAAAAAGAAGAAAGAAAAAGAAAAAGAUGAUGUGGGGAGAAGUCUGAAAUUUGUUUGAGGUCUUGUCCCUUAAAACAAGGACCUUACACGGAUCACUGGCAUACAAAGAGAAACAUACACCCAUUCCAGGAAAGGCUGGUAGAAGUAACCAAACAUCUGGGGUACCCCUUAAUUAUUCUUGGUUGGCUCCUUUAGCUUGACCUGUAGGGAUGUGAGGGUGUCAAAGUGAUGAAUUUUAAGAUGUUGGGCUGUGAAGACGUGCAGCUGCAAGACUGAUGGAUUUAGGAAGGGGAUGGUAACAAGGUUAGCUGCAUGUGAAGUGUGAAUUGAGAUUUUUGCAAAGAGACUGUGAUUGCAGAUGGGCAUAAUGUUGUACCCUUGCAUGAAAUCUUGCUAUUAUUGUAUAAUGGUCAGACAGAGUGUGAAAUGACUUACUACUUUACUUUUACUCUUUAAUGAAGUUGGGUAGGGGAGGAGAACUACCAGGAAAUCGAUAGUGGUUGUGAGCGGAAACUCUAUGACAGGUGCUGAGACAUUAAAUAUUUAUUUAGCUUUUUGCUCCCUUCCUUCCCUUCUCCCCUCCCUGAUUUUUUUGCUGUAUCAGAACGCAAACAAAAAUACAAGACAGGAUCUGGACAGAGAGGAAGAUGCUUUCUUUACCUCACUUUCUGCAGUACAUAAGAAACGGGUAUUGCUGAGUGGCAGUGCGGCAUGUAUGUGCUCUAUGUAAACUAUCAGACAGCUCUCUCCAUCCAGGCUGCAGACACACACUUUCUAGAUAGGUGUUGAGCUGCUCAACAUGUAUCCCUCUCCUAGACCCUGCUGCCAGCAUGUGGUAAGUUGUAGCACACUGCUACGACCCCAUAUGAAUUGCAGUGGGCUCCUCUCCAGCUCAACGUCUCGUUCUUCGUUGUGCACCGAGCGGAGCUGCCCACAUGGUGCUUUUAUUCCAGGAGGAUGGAGCAAAAUAUCUGCACCUGCUCUUCUGUGCAGCGCUGUGCAGGUACCUUUGCAGACAUCUUGUCAGCAGUGUCACACGUGGCCAGGGCAGAACAGCUAUUAGCAGAAUUUAUGAUUCCGUUGUACAGCUGCACCAUUCUCUGUGAAUAUGUAGUGAGGAAAAGGAAAUGGAGCUGCUCCCUCUGGGUGCUGUCCUAAAAAAGAGGAUUCCCCAGCUGACUGAACCCAGGCACUGCUGAGGACGGUCUGACAAACACUGGCCCUGCACCUGGGCUUAGCGAGCUGCCUUCCUCUCACCGAGCAGUUCAUCUCCCUGUUUGACACAUGUGGCAGAGGUGUAGCUUCUCGAAUGCCUUCUCAGCAGCACACAGCUCCAGAGCUCUUGGAUGGGGCCUCUGCCCCAGGGCCUCCCCCGGCACCUUUCCCCACAACAGGUGCAGCCCCUCCCUGGAGCUCUCAGCGAGGCUGUGCCCUGUGUUUGCCAUGGGGGUUGGCACUGUUACCUCCUCACCAGAAGUCGGGAAGAACAAGAAAGCUGGGGAAUAACUGCCUGACUGGUCUGUGUUAGCACACGGGACUUAACGAAGGCAGUACUGUGUGGAGCAGGGAACAUGUCUGAGACCAGUCUUUGACCUUACAGUUCAUCAGCUUUCAUUCUGGUGCUUGUGCCUCAGUGCUGAGUGAGUACAGAGUUAUGGAAGGGAGCCCCGCUGCUACAUAUUAACAUCCCGUCACAGGGUCCUCUUUCUCCUCUGGGUGAGGUAAAGGUCUCUGAGAUGUGCAUGGGUUUGUUUCAAGUGGUGUCCUGGCAAUUUGGGAAAGGAAAGCUGAGGAAGCAGCCCAUGGGGGGACUUGCCACCAGUAAACAGGCUGGGUACUGAGUUCGGGUACUGAGUUCAGCAGAGGGUACACUGAAAAACGAAAGCAGCAUCGUCUGCAGCGGUGCCUGGCCCGAUUCAGCUCUCUCACUGACAGAUGUGGGGUGGCUGGGUUGGCUUCUCCGGGCCCAGGACUUCAGGGUUGGGCCUGGGGUUGCUUCUGGAGAUGGGGAUAGGUUGCACCAGGGAGCUGUCUCACGCUGCGUGGACCUGGGAAGGGGCUGCAUGGCCCUCAGCAUGAGGUGUGAGUGGUGGCACCUGCUUGUAUAGGUCUUCUCUUAUUUUGGGUGUCAGAUGGCCACUGGAAGGGUCACUCUUGCUGACCGUUUGGGCCCCUCUCCUGGUGCAGAAAGCUGUGGGCUGGGUGAGGAACAGCAAAUCUUCCAUUUGUGAACAUCUUCCUCAGCAGCGGUAUGCGUAACAGCAGCAGCAACGUGCUGCGCUAUCGCAGGCCAAAAGGCCUAUGGAAAAAUACGUGUGACAGGGAAGAGGAAGAAGCAGUGUGCUGCAAUGCAGCAGGAAGGCGUCUGUCCUGUGCCACUGCUCAUCGCAGUGGGUCUGAAGGUGUAGGUGUACUCAGUGAGUACUCCUGUUAGAAGGUGGUGGAGCAUUUGGCUUUGGUGCUGUUUCUUGCCUACGUUAAUGCACUGCAGGCUGGAACUUGGAAAGAACUUGGCAGAGUGAAGAGGAAAUGAAAAUGAUAAUUUUUCAUGUAAUAGAGAUCACAUAGAGAUUGCCUUUGUUGUUCACAGCAUUUCCAUUCCAGGAUGCUCGGAGAAUUAAAGCAUACAAAUAGAGAAAAUCUGCAAAGCGUUGUCAGGUAUUAUUUAUGUAUUAUUAUUUUUGUUGGAAGAGACAUGUAAAUAUAAAGAAUUAGAAAAAG